GUGCCAGCAGCCGCGGUAAUACCGGCAGCUCGAGUGAUGGCCGAUCUUAUUGGGCCUAAAGCGUCCGUAGCUGGCCUCGCAAGUCCGUCGGGAAAUCCAGUAGCCCAACUACUGGGUGUCCGGCGGAAACUACAAGGCUUGGGACCGGAAGGCUCGAGGGGUACGUCCGGGGUAGGAGUGAAAUCCCGUAAUCCCGAACGGACCACCGAUGGCGAAAGCACCUCGAGAAGACGGCUCCGACAGUGAGGGACGAAAGCCAGGGUCUCCAACCGGAUUAGAUACCCCGGUUCC
rnacentral:rRNA from 1 species